rnacentral:snRNA from 1 species
CGCCCGGUCGUACUCAUAACCG